GACGAACGCUGGCGGCGUGCUUAACACAUGCAAGUCGAACGGAAAGGCCCUGCUUUUGUGGGGUGCUCGAGUGGCGAACGGGUGAGUAACACGUGAGUAACCUGCCCUUGACUUUGGGAUAACUUCAGGAAACUGGGGCUAAUACCGGAUAGGAGCUCCUGCUGCAUGGUGGGGGUUGGAAGGUUUGGGCGGUUGGGGAUGGCCUCGCGGCUUAUCAGCUUGUUGGUGGGGUGGUGGCUUACCAAGGCUUUGACGGGUAGCCGGCCUGAGAGGGUGACCGGCCACAUUGGGACUGAGAUACGGCCCAGACUCCUACGGGAGGCAGCAGUGGGGAAUAUUGCACAAUGGGCGGAAGCCUGAUGCAGCAACGCCGCGUGCGGGAUGACGGCCUUCGGGUUGUAAACCGCUUUCGCCUGUGACGAAGCGUGAGUGACGGUAAUGGGUGAAGAAGCACCGGCUAACUACGUG
rnacentral:rRNA from 1 species